GAACGUUAGCGGCGCGCUUAACACAUGCAAGUCGCACGAGAAAGGGUCUUCGGACCCCGGUAAAGUGGCGCACGGGUGAGUAACACGUGGAUAACCUACCUCCGAGUGGGGGAUAACGUUCCGAAAGGAGCGCUAAUACCGCAUGAGACCACGUCCUGUAACGGAUGAGGUCAAAGCGGGCCUCUGCAUGCAAGCUCGCGCUUGGAGAUGGGUCCGCGGCCCAUCAGCUAGUUGGCGGGGUAAUGGCCCACCAAGGCAAAGACGGGUAGCUGGUCUGAGAGGAUGAUCAGCCACACUGGAACUGAGACACGGUCCAGACUCCUACGGGAGGCAGCAGUGGGGAAUCUUGCGCAAUGGGCGAAAGCCUGACGCAGCGACGCCGCGUGAGUGAUGAAGGCCCUAGGGUUGUAAAGCUCUGUGGAGAGGGACGAAUAAGUCGUAGCUAAUACCUCCGGCGAUGACGGUACCUCUUUAGCAAGCACCGGCUAACUCUGUGCCAGCAGCCGCGGUAA
rnacentral:rRNA from 1 species